rnacentral:lncRNA from 1 species
UUCUUUUGUUUUUCCAAGAUGAAGGAAAUAAUUUUCUUAGUGUGUGACUUCACAUCUCCCCCCAGCCCCCAGUCUCACGCGUGCACGGCAGUGACGGGUGCAGUGAUGCGGAUCCAAAGCCUCUGUGGAGACUCGGCAUCGCGCACCCACAGAGGAGCCGGCAGCUCCCCUCAUUAGGAGGCUUCCGGGUUAACCCUUUACCCCCAUCUGUCUAAUUGCUUCUCUGUGAAAGGGGCCAGGAGACAGCCUGCGCUGGGAACCAGCCCUGAGUGACAUGCGCUCCGCUUCCUCUGCGGCAGGAGCCUGCUGACAUUUACGGGCGCAGCAGGCUGUGUCUCCCCAAGACGGGCAUGCAGGAGAAUGGUGCUGCAGUUACAAAACACACCUUUUUAUUGUUUUUCUUGUUAGGUGAAUUGAGAAAGAUCAAAUGAGCCAGAGGUGAGCUUGUAGCUGGGACCGUGCUGAGGAGAGGCGUCCUCUUCCUCAGCCAGGGGUCAGUCCAAAGCAAGCAGGACCCAGGAUGUCUGUGGUGGCCGUUCCUGAUCCAAAUCCUGUUUCUAAAGAGCACGAGGAAAGAAUCAGCGGAUACUCUCAGGUCACAACAGCAUCGUCCCAGGAACGUCUUCUCUCUUCUUGGAAAUUUUCAAUGCACAUCAGAGGGUCUGAGAAGUCCUAGAGGGGAGGUGAUCACGGGACCCCCACAAAAUUUCUGCUUUCCUUGGAUGAAAGGCAUUGUUGGAAAUUCAGGGUGUAUCUGUCAGUGCAGGCUGGGUUAGGAGUACCAAACUGCUCCCAGAUCUUGUCACUUGAAAGAGCAGAGCGUGAUGCUGGUCCAUGCACAUGACAUGUCCACUGUGCAUGCGUGGGGGGUGGGGGGGCGCCCUGCCCUGCAGAGUCCUUGGGACAGAGUGGAAGAGGCUUGUUUUUCUGCUUCCACGAUGGCCAGUGCAGAGACUGGCCACAAGGGAUUAGACACAGCCUGGUAAGGCCCCUCCUGGGGGGAUGCACCUGGGUCCUGCUUCCAUUUCAUUGGCCAAGACAAGUCAUGUGGUCGCCUCUAACUUCAGAGGCCUGAGGAGGUGAAAUCCUUCCUCACUUCUGGAAGGAUGAGUGGGCUCUGUGCCAAGGAUAUGUCAACAUGUGUGUAGCAGUGAGUGCUGAUGACGGCGGCUGGCAUGACCAGCACGCUGGGCUAGAGGUCGUCUCUGUUGUUCAUCAGCAGCCCUUCCACAGCAUUGAGAGAUAGUCCUGACUUUCCAACCAUGGCUUCUUUUCUGCAAUAAAUACAAUGUCACUUACAAAGAAAAAAAACCCCAAAGCAGGUCCUGCAUCUAAAGAAGUAAUUUUAAUGGAUACUUCCAAAAUAAUCUGCCAUUUCUUCUUGGCCUGGGGCGUGCUUGUCUGUAUGUUUCUCUGCAAAGGCUUCCUAAAUCUCUGUGCAAUCUCAGUUUGUUCUUUCUCUCACAUUGGACGGUGAGGUGCCUGAAGGUGGAGGUUGUGAGGUUUCUGUCUUCUGUCCUUGAGCAGGAAAGAGCCCAGGGCCCCCACUCUCCAGCACACCCCAUUUCUCUGAAAGGGCCAAUGGAGAGUGUGGGCCAUGGAGCCUCCCACAGCCAGGGAAGGGAUGCCACACAGCGGGCCGGG